CUGCUAUACAUGCAAGUCGAACGCGCAGCGAAAGGUGCUUGCACCUUUCAAGCGAGUGGCGAACGGGUGAGUAACACGUGGAUAACCUGCCUCAAGGCUGGGGAUAACAUUUGGAAACAGAUGCUAAUACCGAAUAAAACUUAGUAUCGCAUGAUACAAAGUUGAAAGGCGCUACGGCGUCACCUAGAGAUGGGUCCGCGGUGCAUUAGUUAGUUGGUGGGGUAAAGGCCUACCAAGACAAUGAUGCAUAGCCGAGUUGAGAGACUGAUCGGCCACAUUGGGACUGAGACACGGCCCAAACUCCUACGGGAGGCUGCAGUAGGGAAUCUUCCACAAUGGGCGAAAGCCUGAUGGAGCAACGCCGCGUGUGUGAUGAAGGCUUUAGGGUCGUAAAGCACUGUUGUAUGGGAAGAAAUGCUAGAAUAGGGAAUGAUUCUAGUUCGACGGUACCAUACCAGAAAGGGACGGCUAAAUACGUGCCAGCAGCCGCGGUAAUACGUAUGUCCCGAGCGUUAUCCGGAUUUAUUGGGCGUAAAGCGAGCGCAGACGGUUGAUUAAGUCUGAUGUGAAAGCCCGGAGCUCAACUCCGGAAUGGCAUUGGAAACUGGUUAACUUGAGUGUUGUAGAGGUAAGUGGAACUCCAUGUGUAGCGGUGGAAUGCGUAGAUAUAUGGAAGAACACCAGUGGCGAAGGCGGCUUACUGGACAACAACUGACGUUGAGGCUCGAAAGUGUGGGUAGCAAACAGGAUUAGAUACCCUGGUAGUCCACACCGUAGACGAUGAAUACUAGGUGUUAGGAGGUUUCCGCCUCUUAGUGCCGAAGCUAACGCAUUAAGUAUUCCGCCUGGGGAGUACGACCGCAAGGUUGAAACUCAAAGGAAUUGACGGGGACCCGCACAAGCGGUGGAGCAUGUGGUUUAAUUCGAAGCAACGCGAAGAACCUUACCAGGUCUUGACAUCCUUUGAAGCUUCUAGAGAUAGAAGUGUUCUCUUCGGAGACAAAGUGACAGGUGGUGCAUGGUCGUCGUCAGCUCGUGUCGUGAGAUGUUGGGUUAAGUCCCGCAACGAGCGCAACCCUUAUUGUUAGUUGCCAGCAUUCAGUUGGGCACUCUAGCGAGACUGCCGGUGACAACCGGAGGAAGGCGG
rnacentral:rRNA from 1 species